CAGUAUUACUGGGAAAACGUUCUCAUGUCAUCAGCAGCAGCAGCAGUAGCUCGGAAGAAGAGAGAGAUGAAGUUAUUGAUGAUAACAAUCUGGUUGCCAAAACUGGAGCAAAACGGCUUUCAAGACCGGCUCGAGAUCAGAGAGGUCAACAACAAAGGACCCGGAGUCCACCCCCAACUCGUGCGCCAGGUCCAUCUGGGGUGAUUACUGUAGCAAGAGGGAGUGGACAAGCCGUGACGAUUCGUGUUGUCAGACAGUAUAGAAGAGUCAACAGUAAGAGGUCAACGUUGCCGGACAAAUUCUGGUGCAAAUAUUGUGGCGCUGGUUUUCCGAGAAUAUACGCACGGAACAGGCAUGUAAAGAUACAUGAGGGGAAGUUCAAAGGAAAAUCGUAAGUC